UCUAGAUUCCUGUAACCCUGCCUUUUCCUUUUUGUUUUCCCAGACCUAGGAUGGUAGCUCUUUCCUGCAGUUAUUUUCUCUGGUUUCCCUCAGUGUUUCUGCUGUGUUCUCUCAGUCCUCUAAUUCUUGUGUUAAAUCUCCUCUGUUUGCAAUGUAAUAAAUUAUUUUUCUGCAUUUCUGACUGAACUCUGACAUAUAUAUCACCACGAUCAUAUUGACUUACACCCCUACACAUAGUUUUCUUUCUAUUUUUAUUUCCAAUUUAAUAUUUUGUGAUUUUUAUAAAUUGUUAUUUCUGUAUACAAAGAAAGUGAAGUGUGGUAAUAUUAGAAAAAAGUAACAAGUACAAAGCCGUGAAAGAGAAGAUAAUACUGCCACUGAUAGAUGCAGGCUUUCAGAAGAAGAAAAGUUAAAUGGAGUUUCCAGGUCAUAGUCUGACUUCAUCUUCCUUGAGUUUCCAGGUACUCCUUCUGGGAAGAGCUGGUUUUGGAGAAGUGAAAUAUUAGGCAUCAAUAGUUCUUAACGUAGAUCUCCGAAGAGAUGAUAGCAAGCGAGAGGCCCUCUUCUGGCAAGAGUGAAAGGAAAGUGAAUCGUUUCAGAAAGCAAGUAAUGUGUGGAAAAUGCUUUUUCAACCUGAAGGUGAUGCACAAUUUUUUACUCUUGAAAUCACUAUGAUUGUUCCUAGGGCCAGUCUGAAAGUUGAUUGCCUGUAUCAGCUCUACCAAAUUACUAGGCCUUCCAUAUUCUCCCACGACUCAAGACCAACAAAUUUCAUAUGCCAUUUUUCAUGGACUCUAGCAGCGAUUGUUUCUGGCUAAAAGGAAAGGAGGCUGUGGGAUCUUCUUUGUGUAGGUCAUGAUCUAUUCAGGCCCCAAGCACACGUUGGUCCCAGAGAGGUUUGCAUCAGAACUGAGAACCUGAGAGUACAAGGAGCUUGUGUGGAUAAAGGCUAACCAAGGAUCAGAUUCCCC
rnacentral:lncRNA from 1 species